UACCUCCUUGGCCAGUCUGUUUAACAAAGGAGCCAAUGAUAAUCAGGUUGGGCACAGUCGAAAUAAUUCUGGAGAAAGGCAAACGAGGCACCAAUGGUGCCAUUACCUUUGCUGCGAAUAAUAACAACAUUCCUCAAGCGCCAACAGCAUCAGUUGGACUUUGCUUCUCAUCUCUUCCGUACAAGACGCCAAUACGACUCAUAACCAGCCAGGGCCUGAAUUUCUGGGUGCGUCUUCAGAAUUUGCCGCAACGACUCAGCUCAACGCGCCACUGCCUCUUCUUAGCAUGUUUUGUCACAACACGCUUUCCCAAGAUCUUCAAGUGUUUUGUCUUCUCUUCUUAUUUUCAGCAUAGACAUGCCUGCUCAUAACAACAAUUACUUUGAGCAUAAGCGUGCUUGCUCGUAAAAAUUACAGGAAAUCGCUAGCAUCAUGUGCUGUUUCACCACCAAAGGGAGGUGAAACAACAACACCAACGACUACAAGGAUCACAAGUUCCUUCCAUACCUAGGAUUCUGGCAACCAGUUAGGCACUUAGGCUGGC
rnacentral:lncRNA from 1 species